rnacentral:tRNA from 1 species
GGACGGAUAGACAAACUCAAGCGGAUAGAGGCCGGUUAGCGAAAGCCGGUGGUUGCAGGUUCGAAUCCUGCUCCGUCCA